ACUUGACGGCUUCAGCUGACACUUUGAUGAGCAAACAAGAGUCAGAUGCUUCUUCUAGUGAACACCUUGAGAAACCAAAUAGGACUUUGUCCAUCAAAGUGCCUGGUUUCAAUUGCCUUUCUGAAACGUAUAGUUAUAACAGAGAAGAGACCCCAGUGGCAGACCUGAAAAUACUUUCAUCUUCAGAGUCAGAUUCUUCUUCUAGUGGACACAUUGAGGAACCAAACAACACUGAACUGACAAUACAGAUUGAUCACUCCAGAACCAAAAGCUUUAAGAUGUGACAGUAACAUAGCUACCACAGCAUAAAUACCACUUACUUUCCAAGUGUGUAGGAGAAACUAUGGCGGCUGUGAAACUCAUAGAAAACAUAAAAGACUGUAUCUACAGUGUUUGGUUUGUCUGUUCUGGGCUACAGUAGAUUAACAUGGCAGUUCAACAUGGUGGACUCCAUGGAAGGCCGCCUGCAGUGUCUGUAGAUAAAAAUGUCUGUAAAUAUAUAAAUAAAAAUAUGUCAAUACAUCUUCUUUUCACAUUUUGUAAAUUAAUCUGUUGCAUAAAAACAUUCACUUGGGGGAGGGGGCAUACUACAACUUGUGUAAAUUAAGAUUUUAUUCAUAAAUAAAGUGCUUCUAAAAAUCCAGUUAAGAGUUAUUUGUUUGUUUGUUUGUUUGUUGGUCAUUUAAGGUUCAUUCGUAAAUAAAUUUUUCAAGAAGUUUAACUUGGUUAAAGGUAUUUUUUAAGUUUUAAGGAGCAGUGAGGUUGUUCACUGACACUAAAUACAUUAUACAUUGAUUUUAUUUAAUUAUUCUUGAUUUAAUAAACACAUAUUAUCAGAGUAAUGGAUUAUUGUGAUGUUUUUACUAACAGAAAGUCAGGUGACAUCCUCAGGUGGUUUCCCAUCAGCAGUUCAAAGGCAGAUACAUAGCUUGUCCACAGGGGGGCGCUGUCACACUGCUGACAUCUCUGUAAAGGUGAACUCAGUGAUAAACUCAGGUAUUAUUUGAUCAAGAUAAAAGAUGUGACACAUGUUGCUUUGUUUGUGUAAUA
rnacentral:lncRNA from 15 species